rnacentral:pre_miRNA from 1 species
ACCCUGUAGGUCCGAAUUUGUGUAAGGAAUUUUAUGGUCACAAAUUCGUAUCUAGGGGAAU